CAAAGAUGGAGGUCAAAGAUAGUCGAGAAGUGGUUUCCAUAGGAUUUAUCAAAUUCUAUAUAUAUAUAUAUGGAAAAUACAUGAGAAGAAGUUUCAUAUUGCUUUUGAUAAGUCACAAGGUCAUAGAUAGUUAUAUGUAUUAUAUUAUAGUUUAACAGAAAAGGGUCAUACCUGAAAGUAAUAAAAAAGAAAUGAUGCAACGACAACAAAAAAGGGGUAGGGG
rnacentral:lncRNA from 1 species